CCGAAGUAAAUUCCCCAGGAAGGUAGAAAGGACGAAACUUGAGUGCCAGAAGUUCCAGGUUAGGUGUGCAGGAGCGUGCAAGAGUAACGACAUUGGUGUUAUCACACCAGCUGCUGUUUACCAUCAUGCACACACCACCUCCUCGUCUUUCCCGACUCCAUUGUUCUGUCCAUGCGGUAUACCGAGAUGAACUCGGCCGGCUGGAUGACGUGGUCCGGUAGCGCUGGGUUCAGCCAUGUCUCGGUGAAGCAGAGAAGGUUGCAGUCCCGAAUGUCUCUCUGGAACUUGAUCCUGGUUCGGAGGUCGUCGAGCUUGUUGUCCAGAUACUGGGCAUUGGCUAACCGGAUACUAGGCAGGGGAGCUCGGUGAAUAGCUGAAGAAAGCUGCAUGAUGAGGCUAAUAAAAAAAAAAACCUAAAUUACAAAGAAACUGAGAAACUACGCAAAGAUCUGUGGUUUUGAAAUGGUUUUGCAUGCAAGUGUUCUUCCAGACAGCAGCUGACAGUUGAGGAACACCAAGAUGGAGUAACCACAGCACAGAUGCAUCCCUGUUCCUCUUUAUGAACUGUGAAACUAACGGCUUCUAGACACGACUCUGAGUGGUCAAGAUGAAGGCACCACUCACUUCUACCUCCUUCUCUUAAUAAAAGGCUGCACAUGCCAUAGAUCGAUGGACUUCUGUAGAGCUUGGUACACAGAAGAACCCCUAAGCUCAGAAUACCUUUACCAAUUGCUUGUAUUUAUGUUUAAAUAAACUUUGUCAUGUUUAGUUAAA